rnacentral:rRNA from 1 species
GACGAACGCUGGCGGCGUGCUUAACACAUGCAAGUCGAACGGAAAGGCCCUGCUUUUGUGGGGUGCUCGAGUGGCGAACGGGUGAGUAACACGUGAGUAACCUGCCCUUGACUUUGGGAUAACUUCAGGAAACUGGGGCUAAUACCGGAUAGGAGCUCCUGCUGCAUGGUGGGGGUUGGAAAGUUUCGGCGGUUGGGGAUGGACUCGCGGCUUAUCAGCUUGUUGGUGGGGUAGUGGCUUACCAAGGCUUUGACGGGUAGCCGGCCUGAGAGGGUGACCGGCCACAUUGGGACUGAGAUACGGCCCAGACUCCUACGGGAGGCAGCAGUGGGGAAUAUUGCACAAUGGGCGGAAGCCUGAUGCAGCAACGCCGCGUGCGGGAGGACGGCCUUCGGGUUGUAAACCGCUUUCGCCUGUGACGAAGCGUGAGUGACGGUAAGGGGUAAAGAAGCACCGGCUAACUACGUGC